UUUACUAACUCAGCUACCUCUCCCUCUCUCGUCUCUCAGCUCUCACAUCUCUCUCAUCUCUCAGCUCACCUCCAUCCCGCAUCUCUCUCCUCUCUCACCUCUCGCAACUCUCACAUCACGUCUCCCGGCCCGCUCUCUAUCGUCUCUCCCUUGUCUCUCUCAACAAUUGCAGGUGCAAAUUAGGGCUUGGUUGAUAGAGUUCAAUCAGGGCUCUGUUUGAAGGGACGAGGCUUUGACACUGUAAUUAGGGAUUUGGUUCUUCAAAUCAGGGCUUGGUUUCUUCAUUUAUUUGCAUUACAGUUGUUUCAUCACUUCAACCAUAUCUACUCACAUUUUAUGUUUCGUUUCAGAGGCUUCUACACGUAGGGGGUUUGGGUGUUUAAUUAGGGUUUCUUCACUUCGGGCAUGAAUUAGGGCUUUUAACUUUGGGGUUGAAUUAAGAUUUGAUUACAGUUAACUCCGUCGGCAUCGACAACUGAAGUACCGUGUUACUCUUGGAGAAUCAACCGAGACUUGUAUAUCAAGGACAUUGAGAAGUAGUUGAAUAGCUUUGCGAAUUGAAUGAGGAAUAGUUCCUUAAGACGAAGCUGUGUUGUGAGAUAGUCUAGUAGAAUUAAUCGGUAUGAAAAUCAGCAGAACUGAGGCAAGUACUAUAGCUCUUCACUUAUUGUUCAAGUGAGAUAUUUUGUUCAAUCAUAAUAUUGAUAGAUUAAUUUCUCUCGAGUUUUCUUGCAAGUAAUACUAUUCUCAACUUGUAAUUACUGCAAGUAUUCCUAUUCAACUUCUUUAUUUAAAAGCAAGUACUUCUAUCUCUCUCUUGCAAUUAACAUCAAGUAAUUCUAUUCUCAACUUGUAAACAAGUACGAUUUUGAUUUAAAAAGGGUGACUUACUAAAUUGAUACACAUGGUUUCAAAAAUCUCUAUAAAUGAUUUUCAUAACUCGGUUUAGUUCCUAUGGUUGUAAGGAUUAUCCGUUGUAAGUAUACUUCCGAUGAAAUAAACCUUUUCUUGAAAAUAUAAAUUCUUUAGUGAAAGGCAUAUGUUUAGCCUAUUUGUAAUUAAAGAGGUACCAACUCAACUCUGAUAAGAAUGCAGAUAAAUAACAAGUACUGUUGAAGGAAUCCGUACGAAGAACGUCAAGUGAUUUAUUUAAAUUAUAUGUCUGAAGAAUUUCAGGAUGCUGCUGCACACCACUGGAAGAAGUUCAUUAAUAUGUUCAAGCCUCAGUGUUCAAAUAAUCUUUUGUAGCACGUCCAGAAGUCCAGAAGGUAUAAAGUUUUAAUACUUUAUUUAUUCAGAAGAUUCUAUACUAUUUCUACUUAUGAAGAAGAACUACGAAGACAAAGACUCGACGAACAAGCCACGUAUCAAAUGUUUAUUUGAUAAAGGAUAUUUAAUUCAGCUUGAUACAGAUGAACCAGACAGUACAUUUGUGUGUCAGCUACUCAGAUUAAAUGUUCUGCAUCAACUAUAGGUGAUCGUUCAAUCAAGACAAAGAUCUACAACGUUCAACAAAGUCAGAAGUCCCUACUGCUGAAGGAAAAUAAUUUUAUAAGUAUUUCUUUAAUUAUUUCACUUAUCAAAAUAAUUAAAUUAGUUGUAUAAUUUAUUUAUUAAAUUGAUUCACCUUCGAAUUAAUUUUAUUUAUGAAUUUAUAUAAUUAAUAUAAUUAAGUGAGUAAUUAUUGAAUAUUUAUUCAAUUAAAAAUCAAUUGUUUUAUUGAUUAUUUGACUCGGCAUGACAAUAGUGUCAUUAUAUCAGACUUACUCUGGCAUGACAUAUAAUGUCAUACCGUGUGAUGAUGCAUGACAUUAUACAAUGUCAUACCGUUUCUCACCUUCAGGCAUUCUCUGGUAUGACUUUAAAUGUCAUACCGUGUCUUCCAUUCAGACAUUACCUUAUGUCUCAAUGACUUGUGUAUGUAUGACUUAAAAAGUCAUACCGUUUGUUGCCUAAUGUCUUUGGCUAUGAAAGUCAUACUGAUUGAAGCUUGAAGGCCAAGGUAAUAAUGUCAUACCGAGUUUGGCAGUAUGGCAUUCUCAAAUAAUGUCAUUCCUUCUCUCUUUUUAGCAUGGCUUUGUCUUGUAAUGUCAUACUUUUCAUUGUAAUGUCAUAUCUAAGCUAGAAAGUCAUUCCUAUCAAUGUCAUACCUAGUUCUAAGUGCUUGCCUAUAAAUAUGGCUUCAUUUCUUCAUUUGUAUGUGUUCAAGCAUUGUAAACUUUCAAGUUGUUAGUAACUUGCUAUUCGUUAUAUCUACAGUUUUCUGUGCUUUGAUCUCU